UACGUAGGGGGCAAGCGUUGUCCGGAAUUAUUGGGCGUAAAGCGCGCGCAGGCGGCUAUUUAAGUCUGGUGUUUAAACCUUGGGCUCAACCUGAGGUCGCACUGGAAACUGGGUGGCUUGAGUACAGAAGAGGAAAGUGGAAUUCCACGUGUAGCGGUGAAAUGCGUAGAUAUGUGGAGGAACACCAGUGGCGAAGGCGGUCAGCUGGUCCGGUACAGACACUAAAGCACGAAAGCAUGGGUAGCAAACAGG
rnacentral:rRNA from 1 species